UGAGCAACCUACCGAACUGUGGGGGAUAGCCGGCCUAACGGCCGUGUAAUACCGCAUACGCUCUCAGAGAGGCAUUUCUUUGAGAGGAAACCUGCGGGACAGAGCGAGGGGCUCGCGGCCUAUCAGCUAGUUGGUGAGGUAACGGCUCACCAAGGCGACGACGGGUAGUUGGUCUGAGAGGAUGGCCAGCCACAUUGGGACUGAGACACGGCCCAGACUCCUACGGGAGCAG
rnacentral:rRNA from 1 species